ACUCUCGGCAGCUUUAGAUCCGGAACUUAGCUGCAACUACCUUAGUCGGUGGUGAGCAUUGAUGUACGUGGAUGGCCAAAACAGUCCUUCUAGAAGAAAUGUUAACAGAAGGGUCUAUUUGGCCGUCAACGCGUACCACCCUAUCUAAGGAACUUCGUCCCAUAACAUCUCACACACAGAUUUGCAUGCUGUUUUUCAUCACAAUACUUUUGGCUAAAUCAACGAAACGGUACCAAAAUCCGCUCGGACUGCCUUCAAUCAAAUAAUUGCUGCUACAUUCACUCAUCAACCAACUGAUUCAUCACAG